GGGGAUCUAGCUCAGUGGCAUAAGCACCUGCCUUGCAAGCAGGAGGUUGUGAGUUCGAUCCCUG
rnacentral:tRNA from 1 species